rnacentral:miRNA from 1 species
ACCGUCUCUUCUGUUUCCCAGGAUCC